rnacentral:rRNA from 1 species
UGCUACCUGAUUCAGCGGCGGACGGGUGAGUAAUGCCUAGGAAUCUGCCCGAUAGUGGGGGACAACGUUUCGAAAGGAACGCUAAUACCGCAUACGUCCUACGGGAGAAAGUGGGGGAUCUUCGGACCUCACGCUAUCGGAUGAGCCUAGGUCGGAUUAGCUAGUUGGUGAGGUAAUGGCUCACCAAGGCGACGAUCCGUAACUGGUCUGAGAGGAUGAUCAGUCACACUGGAACUGAGACACGGUCCAGACUCCUACGGGAGGCAGCAGUGGGGAAUAUUGGACAAUGGGCGAAAGCCUGAUCCAGCCAUGCCGCGUGUGUGAAGAAGGUCUUCGGAUUGUAAAGCACUUUAAGUUGGGAGGAAGGGCAGUAAGCUAAUACCUUGCUGUUUUGACGUUACCAACAGAAUAAGCACCGGCUAACUUCGUGCCAGCAGCCGCGGUAAUACGAAGGGUGCAAGCGUUAAUCGGAAUUACUGGGCGUAAAGCGCGCGUAGGUGGUUCAGCAAGUUGGAUGUGAAAUCCCCGGGCUCAACCUGGGAACUGCAUCCAAAACUACUGAGCUAGAGUACGGUAGAGGGUGGUGGAAUUUCCUGUGUA